GCCCAGAUGGUGAAAUUGGCAGACACGCAUGAUUCAGGUUCAUGUGCCGCGAGGCUUGGGGGUUCAAGUCCCCCUCUGGGCACCA
rnacentral:tRNA from 1 species